rnacentral:rRNA from 1 species
ACGCACAGUUUAUACCGUAGCUUGCUACACCAUAGACUGUGAGUUGCGAACGGGUGAGUAACGCGUAGGUAACCUGCCUAUUAGAGGGGGAUAACUAUUGGAAACGAUAGCUAAUACCGCAUAACAGUAUGUAACACAUGUUAGAUGCUUGAAAGAUGCAAUUGCAUCGCUAGUAGAUGGACCUGCGUUGUAUUAGCUAGUAGGUAGGGUAAAGGCCUACCUAGGCAACGAUACAUAGCCGACCUGAGAGGGUGAUCGGCCACACUGGGACUGAGACACGGCCCAGACUCCUACGGGAGGCAGCAGUAGGGAAUCUUCGGCAAUGGGGGGAACCCUGACCGAGCAACGCCGCGUGAGUGAAGAAGGUUUUCGGAUCGUAAAGCUCUGUUGUUAAGGAAGAACGAGUGUGAGAAUGGAAAGUUCAUGCUGUGACGGUACUUAACCAGAAAGGGACGGCUAACUACGUGCCAGCAGCCGCGGUAAUACGUAGGUCCCGAGCGUUGUCCGGAUUUAUUGGGCGUAAAGCGAGCGCAGCGGUUAGAAAAGUCUGAAGUGAAAGGCAGUGGCUCAACCAUUGUAGCUUUGGAAACUGUUUAACUUGAGUG